GCCCAGCUAGCUCAACAGGAUAGAGCAGCAGAGAUCAAAGGUAGAUGAUUCUUGGGACGAUCGGCUGCUAUUGAGUAGCUGAUCUUUCUACAAGGGAAGAAUCUGCCUCUUCUGAAGAUGUGGGUUCAAAUCCCAAGCUGGGCG